CAGUCGAGGGGCAGCAUGGACCCAGCUUUGCUGGGUUUGAUGGCGACCGGCGCACGGGUGAGUAACGCGUAUCCAACCUGCCCUUUACUCCGGGAUAGUCUCCUGAAAGGGAGUUUAAUACCGGAUGUGUUUGUCUUUCCGCAUGGGAGCGACAAAUAAAGAUUAAUUGGUAAAGGAUGGGGAUGCGUCCCAUUAGCUUGUUGGCGGGGUAACGGCCCACCAAGGCGACGAUGGGUAGGGGUUCUGAGAGGAAGGUCCCCCACAUUGGAACGGAGACACGGUCCAAACUCCUACGGGAGGCAGCAGUGAGGAAUAUUGGUCAAUGGGCGGGAGCCUGAACCAGCCAAGUAGCGUGAAGGACGACGGCCCUACGGGUUGUAAACUUCUUUUAUAAGGGAAUAAAGUUCGCCACGUGUGGUGUUUUGUAUGUACCUUAUGAAUAAGCAUCGGCUAAUUCCGUGCCAGCAGCCGCGGUAAUACGGAAGAUGCGAGCGUUAUCCGGAUUUAUUGGGUUUAAAGGGAGCGUAGGCGGGCUUUUAAGUCAGCGGUCAAAUGUCGUGGCUCAACCAUGUCAAGCCGUUGAAACUGUAAGCCUUGAGUCUGCACAGGGCACAUGGAAUUCGUGGUGUAGCGGUGAAAUGCUUAGAUAUCACGAGGAACUCCGAUCGCGAAGGCAUUGUGCCGGGGCAUAACUG
rnacentral:rRNA from 1 species